rnacentral:lncRNA from 1 species
ACACACACACAGCCCGUCUCGCGCCUGAGGUCUCGCCCGCAGGCCGGUGGCGCGGGGUCAGCUGCUGCGUGCGGUCCAGGACAGGGUCGGUUCCGCCGCGCAGCGCCCAGGCCCAGCUCGUCCAGAGUCUGCGGACAGCGCACGUCCAGAAUAGACAUCGCCCACUCGGGCUCACAGUGCCAUCCGGGUGAGGACCUCCAUGGAGAGCUUCUCUUUGCCAAAGAAAAGGAGUUGCAUUAGGUCUGCGAGCAGGCAGGGUGGCCUCUUCCUGGCUCCCCAUCCACCAAGGAAGCUUCAAGUUCCUGGGACACAGGCACUUUCCCACACAGGAUGGAGCUGGGCCAUCCUCACAGCUCCUGCCCUGGAGACGCUGGCCUUGUGGAGGGAGGCGGGCAGCAGGAGCAGUGCUUUCUGGGCCUCUGUGGCCAGAGCUGGCCCUGCUGCAGCUCACUUCUGCCUGCAGCCCAGACGUCCUCCUGGUCCUCCUGAUGCCCCCGACCUCCAUGGAGGACGAGCAUUUCCAGCCCAGCCCUCCCCGUCUUCACCUCGCACUGCCCUGACACACUGGGAGCCUCCUGAUCCGUGAACCCGCGCUGGCGGGAGUAGCUACUGACCGCUGGGGACCCCUGCCCAGGCUGUUCGCAUGUGGAAAGGAUUCAGGGAGCAGGCGAUGCCCAAAGCGUGGAGACCAGCACUGCUCUCUCCC